CCAUUCGCAUCCACCAUGUAGUCCAGAACGCACGUCGAGUUUCUUUAUCUAUUAUUUUUCAUUUCUUUUUGUUUAUCCUUUUUUCAUAUAUUUUCUUCAAAGAAUUUAAGUUAACAGCAUCAAAACCAGAGAGUCUAAGGUCUUCAACAUCAGUACCGGCAGCUUUAGUGGCAUUUCAUCUAGCAAGUUGCGGCCGGGAGCAAUAAGCACCACCGGCCAGCUUUCGGCACGAUGGCGCCUUCAACGAGUGCAAGUCCAUCGUCAGCCGAUGUUCCGUUUCGAUUCUUCUGAGGGAUUUCUUUGGACGGAGAAA